AAAUAAAGCAAACUCUGCUCCUUUAUUUGUGCUUUAUCCUGUACAAUAUGGAGUUUCCUGGAUCAGAUUGCUGGGACAACAAAGAGAUGGGACCAGGAAUGUUUGUAGAAAAUUGCCUGGUGCUUCUGAGAACAGACACACCUCAGUUUCACAAGCGUUUCAGCCUGACAGAAGUUGGCACAGCCUUUGAAAAGCAUGGUGCCAGUCUCCUCAGUGCCUUCAGCUGCUGCUGCUGCUGCUUUGUUUCACAUCAGCAGCGUUGGGUGUCUGUGCCUGACUGGGAAACUGGUGCUGCUGAAGACUGACUUGCCAGAGGAAAUCACUAAACAAGUGCCAAGAGAGAUGGUAGCGAAGUGUGCGCCAGAGGAAAUCACUAAACAAGUGCCAAGAGUGAUGGUAGCAAAGUGUGCGGGGAAAAAGACAUCAAAUGUUUGGGGAGAACGAGACCACUUAUUUCAGUACCUGUACCGAGGAUGUUUGCCAUCCCUAGGGCACAGAAUUAGUUUCCACCAUGAGGAAGGGCUCAUUUUUGAUGUAAGUUCCAAGGAAUUCCUUUAAUUUCAGUAUACUACUACAUAUUUACACUAUGAUAAAGAUAACUCAGUGAAGACAUAAUAAUGUCUCUAUGUCUCAUCACUUCAGCUUGGUGAAAUACCAUAGAUACAAUAAACUGCACCAGUACUUUUGAUGUUCCCAUGUCUGCCAGGAUUAUCUCAAGCAAAGUCUGAUAUGCUGAGGUACAGGACUAUAGCUCUGGGUGAAAAGGUCCAAAGAAAAUAGAUAAAUUAACCAUGAGAAGAGGUUCACAAAGACAUGGUUUGCUCAGUCCUGCAGUCGCUUUACAAAAAAGAAAUUGUUGGGGGCCUGAUCUUGAAAUAAUUUUGUAUUUUCUGAAAUCCUUCUGGUUUCAUUCCCUCUUGACUUCAGAGGGACUGCUAACAUGAGCUAAGUCUGGCUUCUUGGCAGCUGAGCAAUAGGGAUGAGGCAACAGUAAAAUGGCUGUGUUCAUUUAACUCUCCACAUCCUCCAAACAUCCAGCUGGGAUGAAGGUCCAGAGUCACUGUGUGGCUAAUCAGUGUCUUAAAGUUUCUAGUAAGGAAUGGGAUUUUGAUCACAGAAUUUCUGUUUCCAACAGCUGAGUAUAUUUGCACUCAAGGAGCAGGUUUCAGUUCCCUGUUUUUCCUCACUGGCCAGCUCCUUAUCUCACUGGCCAGCUCCCUUGUGGGGCUGGAUGAGUGGCUGCAGGCAGAUACCGCUUUCCCAAAAUGCUGUAAUUGCCCUAACAGACGUUUUGUUGCAGAGGGUCUUCUGUCAGGAUCUGUGCUCAGAUAAAUUGUCAGGGAUCCAGAGUGAGUGUAGUGAAUAUAAUUUAGUUAUUGAGAAGAAUGGCAGCUGUGUGUGAUGCAUACAAAACACUAAUUUGUGCCAGCCUCCAUUUUGUUGAAAGAUGCUGGGGUCUAAUGAAAAAGGAAGUUUCUUUCUCCUCUUUUUAAGACACAGUGCAGACUUGCUUUAGCUGGCUGGUUGUUAAAUUACCUGUGAGGGAAAAAAAACACACACUGAAUUUAAAUUACAUAGAAAAAAAUUUUGAGUGAGAAAAUUUUCUUCCAGCAAAUAACUCGAGAAGUUGGAGGAGCUUUAGUUUGCUGAAGUUAAACCAUUCCUUGAUGACCUGGAAUAAAUUGCAGAAUUCUCUUUAAAAUGAGUGAUGCUUAUGAUAUUAAUGACACUUUUUAUUUUUAGGGAAACAUCCUUUGAAACUGUAUUUAAAUUAUCAGCUUAAGGCCUAAAAUUUUCUUCCAGCAAAUAACUCGAGAAGUUGGAGGAGCUUUAGUUUGCUGAAGUUAAACCAUUCCUUGAUGACCUGGAAUAAAUUGCAGAAUUCUCUUUAAAAUGAGUGAUGCUUAUGAUAUUAAUGACACUUUCUAUUUUUAGGGAAACAUCCUUUGAAGCUGUAUUUAAAUUAUCAGCUUAAGGCCUGAAUGGGUUGCAGCAAAAUUGAUGAAAAUUUCUGAAGUAUUUUCUGAGUGCUGCUGGCUCUGUAAAAUUAUUAGUUUAGUGAGUAACAUGGUUGAGUAUGUACUUUGUCCAGUGGGUGCAUGUGGGACUGUCACAACUUAGGUAAUGGGGUUAGUUUACAGAAAGGAUGCAAGUUAAGCAAGAAAUAACUUUUAACUAACUUUAAAGUUACAGAUUCUGAACUUUGGUUGUCUUGUGCAAGCCCUGUGUCUUUGCUUAUGUGUAUGACUAGCUCCUACAUACGGUGACCAAUGAAAUUUAUAUUUACUUUUUGUAGUUGUAAGUGCUAUCACAAAGCAAGGCACCAGCUCUCAUGCCCCUGAGUGAGGAACUGAGCUGUUCCUUGUGUUGGGAAAGUCUAGACUUUGUUUCAGCUGUGGGUAGGAAUGUGACAGAAUACAGUUACUUGUUUAGAUUUUAAAUGGAUUUCAUCUAUGUGUGAAUAAGGAAGUGUAUGCUACAACCAAAAUGGACUUGGUGUGAGCACAAAGCACACACCAUCCAUGAAGGGGCCUGAAGAUAUUCUGCAUUAAGCAUGCACUGAUGUGAUAAACUCCCUAAAGAGGCUCAUUUCAGCUGCCAGACACAAGUUUAGAGAAGUAGCUUAUCUCCAGGAGGAAGGUAUGUCUUCUGUGUCACUCCUCAAUGUCCAAGAAAACUUUACACUUGGAGAAUUGGCUGACAGAAGUCGUGGCAAGCCACUGUGUCUUAAUUUAAAAUUCAUACCUGUUAAACCCUUCUUGAUGAAUUGCUUAGAAUGUGGCAUCAACCGAAGGCUUUUGCUUUGGAAGCAGCCACUGGAAUAACAUGGGAUGUCCUAGCUGGUGUUGUUAGCAAAUUUCUUAUGAGUUAAUUAAUCUUACCUGCACACUUUGGAAUUUGGUCAAGCACUGGAACAGGCUGCCCGGGAAAGUGAUGAAAUCACUGCCCCAGAAAUGUUAAAAAUGUAUAGUUGUGGCCCUAUGGUUGUGAAGGACCUGGCAAUGUUGGGUUAAUGGUUGAUCUUUAUGACUUUAGAGGUCUUUUCCAACUUUAAUGAUUCUAUGGUUCUAUGAACUAGGGAACUUUAUUUUCCAGCUGGGAGAUAGACUCAGUUCAUUGCUGCAUGCUUUCCCCCAAACUGUUUGUGCUGUAAGAUCUGUUAUCUGAUGUUUUGAAAACAAAUUAAAUUGUAGGAAUGCAGCAUUAAAUAGUGGAAAUUAUUCUAACAGCAACAAGAGGGCAGCUGGUGGAUUAGCAGAACUGUAUGUAGGUGCUGAAAGUGUUAAACCAUCGGUUUUCUCUUCUUUAGCUGCAUUUUCUCUUUGUGAGAAAGUUUGACAACACGGACUAAUCGAGGUCUUUGUGUUGAAUCAGUGCCUGGAAAAGCCUUAUCUUGAGCUGAAGAGUAGCUGUAUAAAUUAGGUGCCAGAAUUUCAACGUUGCUGGAAAGAAUCCAGACUUGUGAAGCUGCUGUGCCACAGCCCGAUGAGCUUAGAUGAGCAAUUCUCUUGGUAUGUUCUUUUUUUUUUUUUUUUUUUUUUUUUUUUUUUCCCCCACAGCAAUCUCAACUCCUAAGUUUUUCCUUCCUUCUGGGCUCAUAAAUCAUAUCCUUCGGGAACUGGAGCUCACAAGUGUGACUUGGCGGAGUUUUAACAGUAGGUGGCAGUGGACAGCAAAUCUAACCCAGCUGCCCUCCUGUACCUCUUCGAUUGCUGCUGCUCUAUUGAUUUAUGACUAACUCUGAAAUUAUUGUCUUAGAAGCAGUCUAAGAGUCAUAUUCAGCUUUUUGCUGAAGAAUUGAAGGGUUUAGUAAAAAAAUACACAUAGGUACAGCUUUUUUUUUUUCCCUUUAAAUUCUUACGAGUUCUUGGAAAAGGAAUGUUACUUGACAAUCCUUCAAAUUUUUGUCAGGACUUUAAAAGGUGACUUGGCUGGCCUGGAAGUGGUUUUAGGCAGUCUGGUAGAGCAGAGGAUGUGAAGUUACUAUUAAAAUUGCUUAGAUACAGCACUGAAGGAAUUAAGUGGAGUUUUUGAGUUCUAAGUAUUGUGCUGAGAGCAUGAAAUACAGCAGUGUUUUUCAGCCCUGUCCUACAGAUCCCAUUGUAUGGAAAGACUAAUGACAAGAAAAGAUGAUGCUGUUUAUUUCUACUGAUCAUCAUUACCAAUACCAUCUGUAAUGUCUCUGCUACUGCAGGUUUCUGUAAUUCAGAUCAAGUAGAUCUCUUGUGGAAAGAAGGAUGAUUCUUCUACAUUUCUAUUUAGUGGCUUGGUGGAUUUUUUUUCCCCCUUUUAUUGGAUAGUUUUCAAGCCAUUCCAGGAGAAGCAACUUCCCUUGAACCCUUGCUGUGAUUACUUCUAGGGAGCUGCAUGUGGCCUUAUUCAAGUGCAGCAUGCUCUGCUUAGGCUGCCAAAAGUAGUGGGAACCAGGGAAGAGGUGCAGAGCUUCAGCUGUCCGUGCCAUUGGCUCCAGGUCCUGUGGAUCUCCUCUUCCUUUUCCUGAUAGCUGUGUGCAUGCAGGGCUGGGAACUGCUGCCCCUUGCCAAUGCUCCUGUGCAUGACUCUGCUAUCUCCAGCUGUCGACACUCAGGAGGUUGAACCUGCGGUCAGAAACCUCUCAUAUUUCUGCCCUCUCUGGGGGAGCCAUCAGCUCUCUGCUCGUAAACCAAAAAGUCUUUCCUGCAAUUAAUAACCCCUUGUGAGAAAUUCAUGCCAUGCUUAUCUAGUGAAAUCAUGUCUGAGUGGCUGUGAGAAGCAGGAAUGUGAGGUGCUGUAGGGAGGGCGAGCAGUGCUGCUGAGAUAGGCACCAGUACAAGUGGUUUUGGCCCCACUUUACCUGCAAACCUGGCCAGCCCUGUUCCCUUGCUGGAGAGGAGCUGGGAUCUGAAGUGCAAGACCAGAUGGCACUGGGGGCCUUCAUCACAGUGUAUGAGUCACAGAGCCUGCACAGAACUGGAAAUAAAUAGGUGCACCCCUUGGAGCUUCAUUUCCUUAGCAAGGAUGGGGUUGGAGUUCUGUGUGGAAGAUGUCAAAGUUAGAACUUGAGCCAAAAGAGACUGCUGUGGAUUGGCCCGAAAGAGGCUUAUGCUAGCAAAAUGUGGCUCCCUUGCACAUACACUCAUCUGAAACACCUUUUCUACUUGAUUUUUGCCUAACCAUUUCCAGGUUUAUUUUUCAGGCUUAAAAUUGUUAUUUUAAUAUUCUAAUUAUUAAAAUUAUUUGUGUCUGUAUUUAAGGAGUACAUUAAAAGAUCACACUCCUGA
rnacentral:lncRNA from 1 species